GACCUCGGAUCAGGUAGGGAUACCCGCUGAACUUAAGCAUAUCG
rnacentral:rRNA from 1 species